ACGGGAGGCAGCAGUGGGGAAUAUUGGACAAUGGGCGCAAGCCUGAUCCAGCAAUGCCGCGUGAGUGAUGAAGGCCUUCGGGUUGUAAAGCUCUUUCGCACGCGACGAUGAUGACGGUAGCGUGAGAAGAAGCCCCGGCUAACUUCGUGCCAGCAGCCGCGGUAAUA
rnacentral:rRNA from 1 species